rnacentral:rRNA from 1 species
UACAGGGGGUGCAAACGUUGCUCGGAAUCAUUGGGCGUAAAGAGCGUGUAGGCGGCCAGACAGGUCCGUUGUGAAAACUCGAGGCUCAACCUCGAGACGCCGAUGGAAACCGUUUGGCUAGAGUCCGGAAGAGGAGAGUGGAAUUCCUGGUGUAGCGGUGAAAUGCGCAGAUAUCAGGAGGAACACCGGUGGCGAAGGCGGGGUCUCUGGGCAGUAACUGACGCUGAGGAGCGAAAGCGUGGGGAGCGAACAGG